CGAUCACACUGAGACUGACAGUAGCUUCCGAGUGUAAACAAUGGCGAAUCUUCCGAUGGAUACCGUCGCCGAUAUAUUCCUCCGUCUCCCUGCCACUACGCUGGUUCGAUGUCGCGUCCUCUCGAAGCCCUGCUGCUCUCUUAUCGACAGUCCCGACUUCAUCGCCUCGCAUCUCAAACGCACGCUCGAAACAGAAGAUCACAUCAUGAUCCUACUGCGAACCUAUCUCCGUCUACGUACGGUGUACCUCGACGCACCGGAUAAAGUCUCCCUCGUCAAUCAUCCUCUGCGAACCGGUGGUUUCACGGAAGUUUUCGGUUCGGUUAACGGUAUAAUCGGUUUAACCAACUCUCCUACUGAUUUAGCGCUUUUCAAUCCAUCGACUCGCAAAAUCCACCGCCUACCGGUUGAGCCUAUCGAUUUCUUCGAACGUCAGAUCACUCGCGAAUACGUGUUCUACGGAUUAGGUCACGAUUCGGUGAGCGAUGACUACAAAGUCGUGAGGAUGAUUCAGUCUAAAGAUAGAGGAGGUGAUGAAAGCUUUGGCUAUCCUUUCGAAGUCAAAGUGUUCAGCUUAAAGAGUAACAAAUGGAAGAGAAUCGAUCUUCUCUCCGAGGACGUUGAGAUUCUCUUCGACAACUUCUAUUUCCAUCUCCUGUAUCGCCGCGGGAACGGUGUUCUCGCUAGCAACAAUCUUCACUGGAUUUUGAUUCAUAACGAAGGAGAUAUAGGCAUGAACACGAUAAUCAGAUUUGAUCUUGCUACUGAGGAGCUUGGAGUCGUCAAUUUCUCGCAUGAUGUUUAUGUUAAAGGGAUGGAUAUAGGUGUGUUAGGUGGCUGCCUCUGUAUGAUGUGUUAUAACGAGGUUAGACAUGCGGAUGUUUGGAUUAUGAGGGAGUAUGGAGGAGAGUGGAGCAAGUUCGUUUCUGUGCCGCAGCCGGAGAGUGUGGUUUCGUUUGAGUUUGUGAGGCCUUUGGUUUAUUCUAAGGACAGGAGGAAGAUUUUGCUGGAGAUAAACAAUGGGAAGCUCUUUUGGUUUGAUUUGGCGAGUAGGAGUCUUGAAAGGCUUGUGAUAAAGGGUUGUGAGGUUCUUCCAUGUAACGCGGAAAUUGUUGUGAGUAGCCUUGUUUUGGGGUGUAAAGAAAAGAAAAUGGUGCAGAAGGGUAACAAAAGGUUGUAUGCAUAUCUUAAUUUUUUUGAGUUUUUAAAAUUGCUAAUGGUUCGAAUGUAAUAACUUGCUUAAACCAUCUUGUGUUACAAUCUCAGGAGGGAUGAUUUUCUGUCCAAGGGAUUCAAGCUGAAGUUGUGAGCAAAGCAGGGGAACUUCAAAACCCAAAAAUUUAUGAAGGUAAGUGUAAAGAAUCUAAUGGUCGUGACUCGUGACUGUUUCCUUCAAGUUUGUAUUCUUGUUUCUCUUUGUGUGAGAUUUCCAUUCUUAACCUGGAUACGUUAUUGGAAACCUUAGUAAGUGGAACUUGAGUCAACAUCGUAGGGUAACGUUUACGAGUCGCACAAUAUAUGAAUAUGGUGAACAAUUCUUACUAUGUCAAGUGUUAUUGGAGUUUGAACUGUGUAGGUGCUGUCACAAUUAUGAAAGAAUCUUAUUGUUUCAAGUGUUUUAGAGUUCGAACCGUGACAUCGAGUAGGUGCAAAUCUUGACUUUUUGUUUGAUUUUCAGGUGCAAGGCGUAGGUGGAAAGGAAAUGGCUUGAAGCAGCUUCAUCAAAUGCUAAACCCAUAUUAGGUCUUAGUACUAGUUAGCUUAACUAUGUAGUACGUAUAUAUCCUAAGAGAAGACAGUGUGCUUAGGUAACUUCUUUUGAGUAUGGCAUGUUUCAGUAUAACGUAAUUUGGUUUCCGCUUAGACUCGCAUCCUCAUCAAAAAUCUAAAUAGCCAAACGGGAUUUUCAGGACGUUUUCGUUUCGUUAGUUGCAUAUAUCAAAUCUAAGAUCAGAAUGAAAUUUGCAGGAUGAUUCAUGGACGUUAAAAAUUAUUUAUGAAAUAAAGUGGUCUUAUUAAUAUUUUUUGUUUAAUAACAUUUAGACAAGAAUUAAAAGAGGAAAUAAUUGGGUAGGAAGACGACAGUAAGGCCAAACUCAAGAAAAUGUAUCCACACAGCGACUGAAAUGUGCAAACAAUUAAAAAAUUGCCAAUGCUUUUUGUCCAUUAGAUUGUGUUAAGAUGAAUACAUUUUUCGGACUUUUAUUGGGCCGAGCCAACGAGGCCCAUGAAGAAUAAAAUUACACCCUCUUCGAAUCAAAAUAUCCGCGUCCCUAUGUUGUCAAACCCUAGAGCUGCUCACUCACACUGAAACUGAGAGUAGCUUCCCAAAGAAAACAAUGGCGAAUAUGAAUAUGCCGAUGGAUGUCGUUAACGAUCUAUUCCUCCGCCUCCCUGCUACUACGCUCCUCCGAUGUCGCGUCCUCUCGAAGCCUUGCUGCUCUCUCAUCGACAGUCCCGACUUCAUCGCCUCGCAUCUCAAACGCACGCUAGAAACCGCAGAGCACCUCAUGAUCCUGCUACAAUCGCCUCAGCUUCUUCGUACGGUGUACCUCGACGCACCGAAUAAACUCUCCGACGUUGAGCAUCCUCUACAAACCGGCGGUGUCACGGAAGUUUUCGGUUCGGUUAACGGUGUGAUCGGUUUAACGAACUCUCCUCUCGACUUGGCGCUUUUCAAUCCAUCGACUCGCAAAAUCCAUCGCCUACCGAUUGCGUCUAUUGAUUUCCCUGAGCAUUCCAUCAGUCGCGAGAAUGUGUUUUACGGAUUAGGUUACGAUUCCGUGAGCGAUGAUUACAAAGUUGUGAGGAUUAUUCAGUGUAAUGAUGAAGGUGAUGAAGGCGAUGAAAGCUUUGGUUACGCUUUAGAAAUCAAAGUUUUCAGCUUAAAGAGUAAUCAAUGGAAGAGAAUCCGUGUUAACUUUGAGGUUCAGAUUCUCUUCAUCUACUUCUAUUACGAUCUGCUGCAUCGCCGUGGGAAUGGUGUUCUCGCUAGCAACAGUCUUCACUGGAUUUUGCCUCGAACUGGUGGACAUACUGCGUUCAACACGAUUAUCAGAUUUGAUCUUGCUUCUGACAAUCUUGGAGUCCUUAACUUCCCGCAGGAUCUUUACUGUGAAGAUGAUAUGGAUAUUGGUGUGUUAGAUGGAUGCCUUUGCUUGAUGUGUUACAGUGAGUCUAGCCAUGUGGAUGUUUGGAUUUUGAGGGAGUAUCAAGGAAAAUGGAGCAAGUUCAUUACUGUGCCGAAACCAGAGACUGUGGUUUCGUUUGAGUUUGUGAGACCUAUGAUCUACUCCAAGGACAGGAGCAAGAUUUUGCUGGAGUUAAACAAUGGGAAGCUCGUGUGGUUUGAUUUGGAGAGUAAGAGUUUUGAAGCGCUUGAAAUAAAGGGCUGUGAGGGUCCGUGUAAUGCUGAAAUCGUGGUGAGUAGCCUUGUUUUUGGGAUGUAAAGGUGAUCCUUGCAGAGCUCCAGAAAAGAAAAUGAUGCAGGAGAGUGACAAAAGGUUGUAUGCAUAUCUUUCUAAAGUGCUUUCUUACUUGUUUUGAUUCCCUGGUAUAUUUGACAAUAAGUCAAACCUGAGUCUUGUGUAUCUUCAUUCUUUGAGAUUUUGAGGAUUGCUAAUGGUAACUUGCUUAAACAUCUUAUGUUACAAUCUCAGGGGGGAUGAAUGUCUGUCCAAGGGAUUCAAGCCGAAUUUAUGAACAAAGCAGGGGAACUUUAUAAAGGUAAGCAAUCUAAUGGUCGUGAGUGUUUCCUGAGUUGGCAUUCUUCAUAAUAUAUGAAAAAUCUUAUUGUUUCAAGUGUUUUGGAGUUUGAACCGUGUAGGUGCAAAUCUUGAUCUUUUGGUUUGAUUUUCAGGUUCAGGGCGUUAGGGGGGAGACAAAAUUGCUUCAAUCAGCUCUAUCAAAUUCUAAUCCCAGUCUUAGUACUAAUUAGCUUUAACCUCUGUAGAAGGUGUAUUUCUUAAGUGAAGACAGUGUGCUUAGGUAACUUCUUUUGAGUAUGGCGUGUUGCAAUAUAACGCUGUAGUUGGUUGCAUAUAUAAAAUUUAAGCAUCUAGUAAAAUUAAAACCAGUCUGCAAAUAGUUACUGAAGAAUAUUUGAUUAAAUACACAAUUGAUAUGAUGAAAGUCGUCCAUAAACAAAAUACAGUAGAAACGAUCUACGGCGUUGUGCACAGGACAAUGUUUUGAAUGUUAUUAAUUGAUUGAUUACAAGAGAUAAUGAUCACUCACACUCUCCCAUCUCACCCUAAACCCUCACCACCACCAAAACCCCUCCACUCAAUAUAUAAGACAAAAUAAGUAAACCAAAAAGUUAUUAAACCAUAGUUACUUUGAUUAUACUAUACUUUCUUGCGCUUAUCCUCCCUUAACCAAUGCUUGUUCUUAUCAUCUCUUAACCAAUGCCCUUAUGUAUUAUUGGUAAGUUAUCAGCACAAUUCAUGCUAACAAUGUAACCGAGGAAGUCAACUAAUGCAUCAUCAUCGUCUCAGGGAUUAACUGGCUGUUCAAAAUGCUCAGUUUAUUCGACAGAUUUUGUUCCACUGUUCUUUUGAUUCUUCUUAGCGUUGACCUCGUUUUGUAUAUUUCCUCUGUUUUGAUAUGUAAGUAGUUUUACCAAAAAAAUAUUUGUUUCACAAUGUAAGAUAUUUACAUAGUCCAAAGCAUUAUUUACAUUUAUUACAUGUUAUGUGGCCAAUCAAAUAAUUUAUGCAUUUUUAUUAUUGGUUGAAUUUAUGUAUUAAAUACUAUUUUUUUCAAAAGUAAAAGUUUUCUUAAUAUUCACAUUUUUAGCUAAUACUACUUAUAAAUAAAAACAGAACAGAGGAAGUAUUAGAUUUUUUUUUUUUUUUUUUUUUUGUUCAAAGAGGAAGUAUUAGAUUAUGUUAAGAAACUUAUAAAGCUAAAUACAAUUUUUCUUGGGACGAGCCCACGAGGCCCAAAAAGAGAAAAAGUUACAAUUAAUUACACAAUUGUCCUUCUUCGAAACAAAUAUCUGAAUCCUGUGAAACCCUUGCGGUGCUCACUUACACUGAGACUGAGAGAGUAGCUUCCCAGAGAAAACAAUGGCGAAUCUUCCGAUGGAUAUCGUCAACGACGUCUUCCUCCGCCUCCCAGCUACUACGCUGGUCCGAUGUCGCGUCCUCUCGAAGCCUUGCUUCUCUCUCAUCGACAGUCCUGACUUCGUUGCCUCGCAUCUCAAACGCACGCUCGAAACCGAAGAGCACCUCAUGAUCCUACUCCGAUCCCCUCGUCUUCUACGUACGGUGUACCUCGACGCACCGGAUAAAAUCUCAGACGUUGAGCAUCCUCUGCAAACCGAUGGCUCCACAGAGGUUUUUGGUUCGGUUAACGGCUUAGUUGGUUUAACGAACUCUCCUGUUGACUUAGCUCUUUUCAAUCCAUCAACUCGGAAGAUCCACCGCUUACCGAUUGAGCCUAUUGAUUUCACUGAGCAUUCCAUCUCUCGCGAGAAUGUGUUUUACGGAUUAGGUUACGAUUCCGUGAGCGACGAUUACAAAGUUGUGAGGAUGGUUCAGUCUAAGGAUAGAGGUAUUGAAAGAUUUGGCUAUCCUUUCGAAGUCAAAGUUUUCAGCUUAAAAAGGAACAGAUGGAAGAGAAUCCGUGAGGUUCAGAUUCUUUUCAUUCACUUCUAUUACCGUUUUCUGUAUCCUAGUGGAAAUGGUGUUCUUGCUGGCAACAGUCUUCACUGGAUUUUGCCUCGGCGUCAAGGACUUAUCGCCGGCAACAGGAUAAUCAGAUUUGAUCUUGCGUCUGAUGAUCUUGGAGUCCUCAGUUUUCCACAGGAGCUUUACUUUGAAGAUAAUAUGGAGAUGGGUGUGUUAGAUGGCUGCCUUUGCUUCAUGUGUUACAGCAUGUUUAGCCAUGUGGAGGUUUGGAUUUUGAGGGAGUAUCAAGGAAAAUGGUCUAAGUUCAUUACUGUGGAGUCGUAUAACUUUAUCAGACCUCUGAUCUAUUCUAAGGACAGGAGCAAGAUUUUGAUGGAGAUAAACGGUGAGAAGCUGGUGUGGUAUGAUUUGGCUAGUAAGAGUUUUGAAACGUUUGUGAUAAAGGGUUGUGAGGGUCUUCAAUGUAGCGCAGAAAUUGUUGUGAGUAGCCUUGUUUUGGGAUGUAAAGGUGAUCCUCACAGAGCUCGAGAAAAGAAAAUGUUGCAGAAGGGUAGCAAAAGGUGGGGGUAUGCUCAUCUUUAUAAUGUGCUUUCUUACUUGUUUUUGAUUCCUUGAUCAGAUUUCUCGAUAUAGUUAAGACAAUAAGGCAAAUCUGAGUCUUGAGUAUCUUCAUUCUUUGAGAUUUUAGGAUUGUAAAUUGUAACUUGCUUAAAACAUCUUAUGUUACAAUCUCAGGAGAGAUGAAUGUCUGUCCAAGGGAUUCAAGCUGAAGUUAUGAACAAAGCAGGGGAACUUUAUAAAGGUAAACUUAAUGAUUCUAAUGGUCGUGAAUGUUUCCCUCAAGUUGGCAUUCUUCACAAUAUAUGGAAAAUCAUAUUGUUUAUAGUGUUUUGGAGUUUGAACCGUGUAGGUGCAAAUCUUGAUCUCUUGGUUUGAUUUUCAGGUUCAGGGCGUUAGGGGGGAGAGGAAAAGGAAAUUGCUUGAAGCAGCUCUAUCAAAUUCUAAUCCCAGUCUUAGUACUAAUUAGCUUUAACCUCUGUAGAAGGUAUAUUUCUUAAGAGAAGACAGUGUGCUUAGGUAACUUCUUUUGAGUAUUGCAUGUUGCAAUAUAACGCUGUCGUUGACUGCUGCAUAUAUAAAAUUUAAGCAUCUAGUAAAAUUAAAAUCAGUCUGCAAAUAGUUACUGAAGAAUAUUUGAUUAGAUACACAAUAAUAUAAAGAAAAGCGUGAUAAUUAGAAAAAAAAAAUUGUUGAUAAACAAAAACAUAAGAAACUAGCUACCAGAGUUGAUUCAAGCUAACAAGUCAAUUGACUGUCUUGUUGAAGAAAAGGCAAUCAGAUUUUUUUCUAAAUCAAAUUUGUCCAUGAGGUUGUGUUGUGACUUGAAAAGAUUAAUACAUUUUUUCUUACGAGAUUUAGUGGGCCGAGCAUACGAGGCCCACAAAUGUACUUGGAAACAAAUAUCUAAAUCACCAGGGAUUGUAAUUUUGUGAAACCCUUGAUUUUCUCAGUCACACCGAGACUGAGAGAGAGUAGCUUCCCAGAGAAGACAAUGGCGAAUAUGCCGAUGGAUAUCGUCACCGACGUCUUCCUCCGUCUCCCCGCUUCUAUGCUGGUCCGAUGCCGCGUCCUCUCGAAGCCUUGCUUCUCUCUCAUCGACAGUCCCGACUUCGUCGCAUCGCAUCUCAAACGCACGCUCGAAACCGAAGAGCACCUCAUGAUCUUGCUGCAAUCCGAUCGCCUUUUACGUACGGUGUACCUCGACGCACCGGAUAAACUCUCCGACGUUGAGAAUCCUUUGCCAACCGGUGGUUUCACGGAGGUUUUCGGUUCGGUUAACGGUUUGAUCGGUUUAACCAACUCUCCUGUUGAUUUAUCGAU
rnacentral:lncRNA from 1 species